UUAAGGCACUUGUAUUUGCAAACUACUGGCCGAAGUCCCACUAGAGCCAGGGAGAUCAGACUGAAAGACGGUGUGUCAUGAGUGUGUAUCUGCAAGUGAGGGAGGGAGAAACCGAGAGAGAGAGAGAGAGAGAGAGAGAGACAGAGACACAGAGAGAGAGAGAGAGAGUAUCUGGCAGAGACACAGAGAGAGACAGGCAGACAGACAGAGAGAGGAACCCGUUCAACCCAUUUAAGCAGCAACUUUUCAGCCUGUCUACAUGAGGUUGUCCACUAAUAUGGAAGGUUUUCGCUCUCGUGUUUGAUUAUUUUCUGCCAUCCAGUCACCGCAGAAUCACGCUGCCGAACUUUUGGCCACGCUUCAGGCUGACGGUAAAAGAAGCACAAGCUCGAUGGAGACGGAUGAGAGUUUUGUUAGGAGUUUUGCAGAAGGUGAUAAUGAUGACAACAUGAUGGCAUUCAACAUGUCUGCAGGGCUUUUUUAAGCAGAACAUUUGCAUCACCACCUCUCCGCGCUCCUGCUGGCUUCUCAUCAACGUCAUCUGAACCUCCACAUCGACAUGGGUGGUAACACAGCUUGGCACGGAGAUGCUUGGAACAGGCCAAAAGAAACACAGAAGCGUGCGCGCACACACACACACACACACACACACACACACACACACACACACAGGAUUGUGAUGCUAAAAAACAUGAAGCUCAGUAAUGAUUAUCAUUAGAAAGUCAGCAUUUUCCAUUAUUGUAUCCAAUUGUGACAGGUCUGACAUCAUAGCAGACUUACAAAAACUCAACAUAUGUUCGGAUUUAAAUUGCAGACAUUUUAAAUACAUACGUGGUCUGGAUGAGAACCAAGAAACGGGUGACAGUAGAACAUUUCUGGGAUUUUCCAAUGCUUGUCUGUCUCAAACUGCAGCAACAAGUGGCUGAAGACAAUUUAAAAUAAACUGGGUAACUUGGGUUUUGGUACUUAUAUUUUGUUAUUUUGUAUCAAGUUCAACUGCUGCCAUCAAUCAAACAAACCUAUGGCGAGACACACAUUCCUUCCUGGUGCCCACAGUGA